AGUGAACGCUGGCGGUAGGCCUAACACAUGCAAGUCGAACGGCAGCACAGUAAGAGCUUGCUCUUACGGGUGGCGAGUGGCGGACGGGUGAGGAAUACAUCGGAAUCUACUUUUUCGUGGGGGAUAACGUAGGGAAACUUACGCUAAUACCGCAUACGACCUACGGGUGAAAGCAGGGGAUCUUCGGACCUUUCGCGAUUGAAUGAGCCGAUGUCGGAUUAGCUAGUUGGUGGGGUAAAGGCCCACCAAGGCGACGAUCCGUAGCUGGUCUGAGAGGAUGAUCAGCCACACUGGAACUGAGACACGGUCCAGACUCCUACGGGAGGCAGCAGUGGGGAAUAUUGGACAAUGGGCGCAAGCCUGAUCCAGCCAUACCGCGUGGGUGAAGAAGGCCUUCGGGUUGUAAAGCCCUUUUGUUGGGAAAGAAAAGCAGCAGGUUAAUACCCCGCUGUUCUGACGGUACCCAAAGAAUAAGCACCGGCUAACUUCGUG
rnacentral:rRNA from 1 species